UACGAAGGGGGCUAGCGUUGCUCGGAAUUAUUGGGCGUAAAGGGUAGGUAGGUGGUCUUAUUUGUCUGGGGUGAAAUCCUUGAGCUUAACUCAAGAAGUGCCCCAGAAACGGUAAGACUAGAGUCCUGGAGAGGGUCGUGGAAUUCCCGGUGUAGCGGUGAAAUGCGUAGAGAUCGGGAGGAACACCAGAGGCGAAGGCGGCGACCUGGACAGGCACUGACACUCAGCUACGAAAGCGUGGGGAGCAAACAGG
rnacentral:rRNA from 1 species